GCUCGGUGGGUGUUGGCUGGGAAGCAGGGUCUCUGGAUCCCGCCGAGUCACCCGAGUCGAUGCCCGGCCCCGUGCUGGCUGGCGCGGCCUCCGCGGAACUGUGGGGUCGUGCAGGAAGGGAAAACUCGUGAUUCCUUAGGACCGGCGUAGACGGACCAGCGCCGAGAGCGGCAGAUAACAUGCCUUGUGAUUUCCUUGUGGCUGCAGUAGCUUUAUUUCAGGCUUAGAGAGAGGCGGCAACUUUCCCUUGACACAGGGUUGUUGAAGAUGCUAACAGAAAGUAAUCCUUAAUGCAAAAUCAAUUGAAGAGAAUGAAGGCUUUCAUUUUUGACUCACUUCUUGAUCUUUGUGCAUACGGACUCUGGCAGCCCAGUGUGUCCCCCAUAUGGCUCUGCCUGUGACUGUGACUUUCCCUCCACCACUGCCAAGAGCAGACAGAUUGUUGGGAGCAUGGAUGCCAACUCGGCAGUUCACUGUGCACGCACCUGCCCCACAGCUCCUAGGCUUGUGUGAGUAUGGGCAUCCCAGCACUGCAGCCCAACUUCUUGGAGCUACGGGUUCUCAGAGCUGCACUCCACAUGUGGAGCUGAAGUGGGGAAGAUGGUUUGUGUCAGGCUCCUGGCCACAGGCAAGGAAGAUACAGCGGACAUCAGGUCUCCCAGGUUCUCUCUUCAGCAGACUUCACGUGGAUGGCCAGCCCAAGUUCUGGUGAGAUCCCUCUUUGGCAAAAGAGGGAGGUGGACCUUGGUGUGGGGAUGUGUCCUCCAGACAUUUUCGCUGGUCACCUGAUCUAUCCCUACGUGUCCCAGAUACCAGAUGAUGCCAGGGUUACCUGGGUGCUCAUGUUGGCCUGCAAAAUGCAGUUUGCUCCACAUACUUGCCCUCAGGCACCAGGCGUUCCAGGCCUACUGAACAGGGCCUGUCCUAUCCCUCCAGGGCAUCCUCCUGAGGCUAUGGUACCCCUCACUACACCUUGGAUGAGAAGGUUUGAAUCAUGGUCACCAUCAGGCCCCAUAUGACCUUGCUGUUCUAAUGGCAUAGGGGCCUGUCUAGCAACCCUUGUUUUUAGUCCAGGGUAUUUUCCUUGUGUAAAAAUACUUCUUUGAGAAAUACAAUUUAUUGUCAGAUAGUUUAUCAAUAUGAUAGAU